rnacentral:rRNA from 1 species
UACGAAGGGUGCAAACGUUGCUCGGAAUUAUUGGGCGUAAAGCGCACGUAGGCGGCUUAGCAAGUCGGAUGUGAAAGCCCUCGGCUCAACCAAGGAAGUGCAUCCGAAACUGCUGAGCUUGAGUACUUAAGAAGAUCGCGGAAUUCCCGGUGUAGAGGUGAAAUUCGUAGAUAUCGGGAGGAACACCAGUGGCGAAGGCGGCGAUCUGGGAAGAUACUGACGCUGAGGUGCGAAAGCGUGGGGAGCAAACAGG